rnacentral:misc_RNA from 1 species
GAUGAAGAACGUAGCGAAAUGCGAUAAGUAAUGUGAAUUGCAGAAUUCAGUGAAUCAUCGAAUCUUUGAACGCACAUUGCGCCCGCCAGUAUUCUGGCGGGCAUGCCUGUCCGAGCGUCAUUUCAACCCUCGAACCCCUCCGGGGGGUCGGCGUUGGGGAUCGGCCCUGCCUCUUGGCGGUGGCCGUCUCCGAAAUACAGUGGCGGUCUCGCCGCAGCCUCUCCUGCGCAGUAGUUUGCACACUCGCAUCGGGAGCGCGGCGCGUCCACAGCCGUUAAACACCCAACUUCUGAAAUGUUGACCUCGGAUCAGGUAGGAAUACCCGCUGAACUUAAGCAUAUCAUAAGCGGAGGA